GAUGAACGCUGGCGGCGUGCCUAAUACAUGCAAGUCGAGCGAACAGACGAGGAGCUUGCUCCUCUGACGUUAGCGGCGGACGGGUGAGUAACACGUGGAUAACCUACCUAUAAGACUGGGAUAACUUCGGGAAACCGACGCUAAUUACGGAUAAAUUAUUCAUCCGCUUGGUUCAUUAGGGAAAGACGGUUUUGCUGUCAUUUAUAGAUGGAUCCGAUCCGCAUUAGCUAGUUGGUAAGGUAACGGCUUACCAAGGCAACGAUGCGUAGCCCACCUGAGAGGUGAUCGGGCCAACUGGAAAUGAGAACCGGACCAAAAUCCAAAGGGAGGCCGCAGUAGGGAAAUCUCCCAAAUGGGGGAAAGUCUGAAGGAGGAAAGCCCGGGGAGGGAAGAAGGUUUUUGGAUCGUAAAAACUUUUUUUUAGAGAAAAAACAAGUGUAGAGUAACUGAUACGCGUCUGGACGUUACUAAACAGAAAGGCCACGCCAAACAACUG
rnacentral:rRNA from 1 species